GGGGGAAUCGGUUAACUGGUAAACCACGGGUCUCCAAAACCCGGACUGGGGGUUCAAGUCCCUCUUCCCCCG
rfam:Elusimicrobia bacterium RIFCSPLOWO2_01_FTLL_59_12 rifcsplowo2_01_scaffold_17206, whole genome shotgun sequence.